GCAGAGUUAGCUUAGUGGUAAAGCUAUUAGGAGCGCUCAAUAACAGACUAUUAGUCGCAGGUUCGAUUCCUGCACUCUGCGCUA
rnacentral:tRNA from 1 species